rnacentral:misc_RNA from 1 species
AAUUACAGAAAUCCUUGUCUCCUCCUGGAGCCUCAAUCGAAACAAAAAACCGAAUCGAAUACGGAAAUUUCUGAGAAAGCUCUAUUAAUCUCCCAGAAAAAGAAGAAACGCCAAUUCUUUUGUUUGUGGUUGAUCACUCUUGAACUGGAUUUGGUCGAACGACCAUGAGAGAACAGUAACCUUUCUCUUCCAACAAUAUUAUUCCUUCCCCUCCUCGGAAGUCCAGAGAAGAUCGAUAAUUUCUUUUGAUUUCUGUUCGGUGGACCACCGUCG